rnacentral:tRNA from 1 species
AGCCGUUUAGCUCAGCGGUAGAGCACUCCAUUCACAUUGGAGGGGUCAGUGGUUCAAAUCCACUAACGGCUA